UACACGUAUAUAACAGAGCAAGACCGAACGAAGCUCAUCUGAUUCUAGUGUCUAGGAUAACGUGGAUAACUAGGAUAAGGUGACUAAAUUCCAAAAUAUGACCUUUCUACAGUAUAUGUCAUUAAGUACUAGUUUCCAGCCAUCAUUAUAGCAUGGGUGUCAUAUCUCAGCCCAGCCAGGACUCGGUUUCCGAAGAAGCAACACCCAUUUCCAACAUGGCCGCUGCGAACUACACUUCCCACGCACGCAUGCGCUCACCCUCCCCGGAGUUCUGAUCACUCACACCUGCAGCCAAUCACUCCGCCCUCUCACCACAGGUCUUAAGAGACUUUGAAUGCAAACAUACUUGUGAAGUAUACACUCAGCAGACUAGUUUCUCUGUCGUUUUCCAAGCCUAUUCUCCAGUGUUUAUUCAUAGAUUGACUUUGACCUUUGCUUACGUUCCCGACCUCGAUUACUGCCUUGCCCCGUUUUGUUUUGUUUGCCGACUACGUACUUUGAUCACUCCUUUGGAUUAUACUGCCUUUUCCUGCUGCCCGCUUCUGCUUCCGUAUUCCCCACGGGGCCAAUGGGCAAUGCUGGUGCAAAGCCUUGAAUCGUGACGGACCUGGUGGACGAGCGAGUGGAAAAAUCCGGAUCAAACCGGUCAACUCAUAACCUCGCAUAACCAAAGGGUUUUCAUUUGCGAAACCAAUCACAGUUAAAAAGGUUCAGGGUUGUGUGUGAUAAGUGUGUUUUAAUACCUGAUUUCAUAACUCUCCCUUACAAAUAUAUGAAUAAGACUAUUCAUGUACAUAUGUAUAUAGCUUCUUUUUGUUUCUGUUGAUGUGUUUUGUAAUAGAAAAUAUGAACGUGUCUACUUUUGAUGCUAGGAUGCAACUGCCCUUUUCAUGUAUCAUAUCUGGACAAGUAAUUGUGGAAAAUCGUGUUUUAUCAAUGUUGUUAAACUGUAAAGAGACAAUGUCGGUAGUUCCCGGAAACAUCGUCUGGUGUUGUGUGUUGGCAACUUGUGUACGAUGAAUUGAUGACCAGAAUAAAUGUAAAAUUUAUUCAAGGAAUCCCUGAUUCUUUGCGUGAUGACAAACAAUUUCCUCCAAAUAAAACACUUAUUGUUAAUUGAGGACUUUAUGGAAUCUGACAAUAAAAGCGAUGAAGUAGAAAAGGCUUUUACAAAAUACACCCAGGAUAGAAAUCUGAGCAUCAUCUAUCUAGUUCAAAACUUGUUUUUUCAAAGCAAGACUAGCAGAACAAUCUGAACACCAACUAAAUUGUUCUAUUUAAAAACCCUAGAGACAAAUUACAAAUCAGCAUAUUUGCUUGUCAAAUGUAUCCAGGUAACAGCAAGAAUUAUUUAGAAUGCUUUCUCAAUGCCAUCUCUAGACCUUAGAUACUGAUUGUUGACCUGAAAGCACAAACAAGAGAAGAUCUUUGUCUGCAGUCAAGGUUGUUUCCAGGAGAAAAUCUGGUUGUGUAUCUUCCGAAGAAGAAAAAACUUUAAAGAAUCGACAAACUGUGUGUGUGUAUGUGGGUUUUUUUUUUUGUUUGUUUUUAAAAAAAAAAAAAAAAACCUCCUGUUGCUGAGUUCAUUAUACCGGUCUCCACCCCGAAGGAAAAAGUAUAUAUUACAUGAUGCGCCCACAGAUCUCAUUUUGAGCUUAUGUGAACUAGCUUUAAACGUGCUCUGAGGGGAAAAUACCGCUGACAAAAAAAAAACUGUACCGGGUUUAAAAAAAAAAAAAAAAAAAAAACUUGAAAAAAUGGAUCAAAUUAUAUGCGGGUAAAAGAGCGUCCGUAGAAAGAAAAAGGAAAUUUAUUAAUCAAUCCAGAGGAUUUCUUCUACCUUUGCUCAGUGUAGCCAUUCCUUUUAUAAGCAGCUUAACUGCAUCCUGUGACGAUUAACAUGGAGACCACAGAGAAAAUGUAUUUAGUACCUCAACAUCAGUGCGACAAACUUAAAUAUUAUCACCAAAGAGAAGGAAAUUUUAGAAAGAUGUCGAAAACAACUUGGAUGAGGCAGUACGGGGGAUUUUGUCAAGGAUUGAUCUGAAUGAUUAUGAGAAGGUGAAACUCUACGUGUCAGCCCGGCAAAAGUUUUUAAACUUGGUUAAACUAAGAGCAGGAAACCGCUCAACUUACCCUGUCCAUGACGCAUGUACAACUGCUGCUGUAGCGGUCUUGUUAAGAGGUGUUUGGUCUGGAGAAGGAGCCGGUUUUGGACCGGUCCCACCGGACCCUUCAACCGAAGCCCAAGCCUGAUGAAUGGCCAUGAGGCAAGAUAGCCCGGACCCGAGCCACAUUUAACGAGAUUCGGCGUCAACUUCGUGGUAUUGAGGGCGCUCGCUAUGGAAUACUUCACCCAGUUAAGCUUCGCAUUACAUAUAACGGUGUUCAGAAGGACUUUAUUUCAG